rnacentral:rRNA from 1 species
UACGGAGGGUGCGCACGUUAAUCGGAAUCACUGGGCGUAAAGCGCGCGUAGGCGGUUCGUUAAGUGGGAUGUGAAAUCCCCGGGCUUAACCUGGGAAUUGCAUUUCAAACUGGCCGACUAGAGUACGGUAGAGGGAGGUAGAAUUUCCUGUGUAGCGGUGAAAUGCGUAGAUAUAGGAAGGAACACCUGCGGCGAAGGCGGGUUGCUGGGCUGACACUGACGCUGAUGCGCGAAAGCCAGGGGAGCGAACGGG